UACAGAGGUGGCAAGCGUUGUUCGGAAUUACUGGGCGUAAAGGGCGCGUAGGCGGCCAUCUAAGUCAGACGUGAAAUCCCCCGGCUUAACCUGGGAACUGCGUCUGAUACUGGAAGGCUUGAGUAUGGGAGAGGGAUGUAGAAUUCCAGGUGUAGCGGUGAAAUGCGUAGAUAUCUGGAGGAACACCGGUGGCGAAGGCGGCAUCCUGGACCGGUAUUGACGCUGAGGCGCGAAAGCCAGGGGAGCAAACGGG
rnacentral:rRNA from 1 species